rnacentral:rRNA from 1 species
GGGGAAUAUUGCACAAUGGGCGCAAGCCUGAUGCAGCGACGCCGCGUGAGGGAUGACGGCCUUCGGGUUGUAAACCUCUUUCAAUAGGGACGAAGCGCAAGUGACGGUACCUAUAGAAGAAGGACCGGCCAACUACGUGCCAGCAGCCGCGGUAAUACGUAGGGUCCGAGCGUUGUCCGGAAUUACUGGGCGUAAAGAGCUCGUAGGUGGUUUGUCGCGUUGUCCGUGAAAUCCCACAACGCAAUUGGGGGUCUGCGGGCGAUACGGGCAGACUGGAGUACUGCAGGGGAGACUGGAAUUCCUGGUGUAGCGGUGGAAUGCGCAGAUAUCAGGAGGAACACCGGUGGCGAAGGCGGGUCUCUGGGCAGUAACUGACGCUGAGGAGCGAAAGCGUGGGGAGCGAAC